UGACCAACCUUAAAGUUAGAACUAUGAUUUCUCUCAUCCUUUGGUCACUGUGUUACAUUCAAGGUUCUUUGGGUCAGGUUUUGACUCAGUCUGGAAGUCAGACAGUGGAGCCUGGUCAAGCUAUUACUAUUGAAUGUAAACACACACCAAGUGUUAACUGUAUUAAAGAAAAAGGUUCCACUCAGGAUUGCAUGGCCUGGUAUCAUCAGAAUCUUGGAGAAGCUCCCAAACGCCUGAUCUCUUCCACAUCUGAUAGAGCUUCAGGAGUUUCCUCUAGAUUCAGUGGCAGUGAGAGUGGAAACCACAUUGAUUUUACUCUGACCAUCAGUAACGUUCAGCCUGAAGAUUCAGGAGAUUAUUACUGUCAGAGUGCACACGACAGAGGCAGUAAUGACUGGGUGUUCACACAGUGUUACAGCGUCAUACAAAAACCUCUCCUGUAAAUAUGAGUACAGCUUUGACUCACUGGUGAUUUAUUUAGUUCUGGUGAACUUUUGCUGUAACUUCGUUUUCCAAAUAUCUUUUUUGUAAUUUUGAUUAAAAAUGCAAUUAAA